rnacentral:rRNA from 1 species
AGCUCCAAUAGCGUAUAUUAAAGUUGUUGUGGUUAAAAAGCUCGUAGUUGGAUCUCAACAGACUUGGAUCGGUUUACUUUGUGUAAUACUGAUCCAAAGCUGUGCUUUUGUCGGAGGUUUAGGGGUGCUCUUAACCGAGUGUCUCUGAGUGCCGACAGGUUUACUUUGAAAAAAUUAGAGUGCUUCAAGCAGGCUGUUAUGCCAGAAUAUUUGUGCAUGGAAUAAUAGAAUAGGAUGUUGAUCUUAUUUUGUUGGUUUUCGAGACUUGACAUAAUGAUUAAUAGGGACAGUCGGGAGCACUCGUAUUCCGCCGAGAGAGGUGAAAUUCUCAGACCAGCGGAAGACGAACUACUGCGAAAGCAUUUGCCAGGGAUGUUUUCA